rnacentral:rRNA from 1 species
AGACCGAUAGCGAACAAGUACCGGGAGGGGAAAAGAUGAAAAAGAAACUUUUAAAAAGAGAGGUUAAAGAGUACCUGAAACUGCUGAAAGGGAACCGAAUCGUUUCCAGUGUCUAUAAUCCGUGGUAUAUUUCAUUGGCGAGUGUGUGCGUGCGUGUGCUGUGGCAGCGGCUUUUUAGGCUGCGCUCGGCGUGUGUGCUGUGUGUGCUUGCUGGUGCCCUGUACUGCGGUGGGACGUCAAGGUCAGUUCGUAUGCUGCGGGAAAUGGCUGCCGAGGAGGUAGGGCUUACGCUUGCGUUUGUCUGUUAUAUCUUGGUGGACGAGUAGUCGCGGUUGGGACUGAGGUGCCUACAACGUGCUUUUGAGUGGGUUUGUGUCUCCGUGUGCGCCGUGUGCGGAUAGCUUGCUAUGCGUGUGUGGUUGUGUGUGGAUUGAUGCGGGCUUUAACUUGUUGCCCGUUUCGGGGACGUUGACCAAAAUGGAGCGAUUCGACCCGUCUUGAAACACGGACCAAG